AUACGUAGGUGGCAAGCGUUAUCCGGAUUUACUGGGGUGUAAAGGGCGUGUAGGCGGGACAGCAAGUCAGAUGUGAAAAUUAUGGGCUCAUUCCAUAACCUGCAUUUGAAACUGUUGUUCUUGAGUGAUGGAGAGGCAGGCGGAAUUCCGUGUGUAGCGGUGAAAUGCGUAGAUAUACGGAGGAACACCAGUGGCGAAGGCGGCCUGCUGGACAUUAACUGACGCUGAGGCGCGAAAGCGUGGGGAGC
rnacentral:rRNA from 1 species